rnacentral:rRNA from 1 species
AUAAGCGCACAGUGCUGCAUGGCACAGUGUGUAUAACUCCGGUGGUAUGAGAUGGACCCGCGUCUGAUCAGCUAGUUGGUGGGGUAACGGCCUACCAAGGCGACGAUCAGUAGCCGGCCUGAGAGGGUGAACGGCCACAUUGGGACUGAGACACGGCCCAAACUCCUACGGGAGGCAGCAGUGGGGAAUAUUGCACAAUGGGGGAAACCCUGAUGCAGCGACGCCGCGUGAGCGAAGAAGUAUUUCGGUAUGUAAAGCUCUAUCAGCAGGGAAGAAAAUGACGGUACCUGACUAAGAAGCACCGGCUAAAUACGUGCCAGCAGCCGCGGUUAUACGUAUGGUGCAAGCGUUAUCCGGAUUUACUGGGUGUAAAGGGAGCGUAGACGGUUGUGUAAGUCUGAUGUGAAGCCCGGGGCUCAACCCCGGGACUGCAUUGGAAACUAUGUAACUAGAGUGUCGGAGAGGUAAGCGGAAUUCCUAGUGUAGCGGUGAAAUGCGUAGAUAUUAGGAGG